rnacentral:rRNA from 1 species
UACGUAGGGACCGAGCGUUGUCCGGAAUCAUUGGGCGUAAAGAGCGUGUAGGCGGCCAACUAAGUCCUGCGUGAAAUCUCGGGGCUCAACCCCGAGCGGUCGUGGGAAACUGGUUGGCUAGAGUGCGGGAGAGGAGAGUGGAAUUCCUGGUGUAGCGGUGAAAUGCGUAGAGAUCGGGAAGAACAUCGGUGGCGAAAGCGCUCUGCUGGACUGCAACUGACACUCAGGGACGAAAGCUAGGGGAGCGAAUGGG